GGGUGUGGCUCAGAGGUAGAGCGCUCGCCUCACACGCGUGAGUCUCUGGGCCCAAUCCCCAGCACCC
rnacentral:tRNA from 1 species